rnacentral:rRNA from 1 species
AGUAUACUUGCUGACGUCUGGCAUUCAUCGUUUACGGUGUGGACUACCAGGGUAUCUAAUCCUGUUUGCUCCCCACACUUUCGUACCUCAGCGUCAGUAUCGAGCCAGUAAGCCGCCUUCGCCACUGGUGUUCCUCCGAAUAUCUACGAAUUUCACCUCUACACUCGGAAUUCCACUUACCUCUCUCGAACUCAAGACUAGCAGUAUUAAAGGCAGUUCCAGGGUUGAGCCCUGGGAUUUCACCUCUAACUUACUAAUCCGCCUACGUACGCUUUACGCCCAGUAAUUCCGAACAACGCUAACCCCCUCCGUAUUACCGCGGCUGCUGGCACGGAGUUAGCCGGGGUUUCUCUACCAGAUACUGUCAUUAUCAUCUCUGGCGAAAGUGCUUUACGACCCUAAGGCCUUCAUCACACACGCGGCAUGGCUAGAUCAGGGUUUCCCCCAUUGUCUAAGAUUCCCUACUGCUGCCUCCCGUAGGAGUCUGGGCCGUGUCUCAGUCCCAGUGUGGCUGAUCAUCCUCUCAAAUCAGCUAUUGAUCAUAGUCUUGGUAGGCCAUUACCCUACCAACAAACUAAUCAAGUGCGGGCUCAUCCAAUGGUGCAUAAAGCUUUCUCCGUAAAGACUUAUCCGGUAUUAGCACAAGUUUCCUCGUGUUAUUCCAGGCCAAAGGGUAGAUACCCACAUGUUACUCACCCGUCUGCCACUAAGUAUUGCUACUUCGUUCGACUUGCAUGUGUUAGGCGUGCCGCCAGCGUACGUUCUGAGCCAGGAUCAAACUCU